rnacentral:rRNA from 1 species
GAGUUUGAUCCUGGCUCAGGACGAACGCUGGCGGCGUGCCUAACACAUGCAAGUCGAGCGGGGUGAGUUCUUCGGAACGAUCCUAGCGGCGGACGGGUGAGUAACACGUGGGUAACCUGCCUCAAAGUGGGGGAUAGCCUUUCGAAAGGAAGAUUAAUACCGCAUAACCCAUAGCUUCCGCAUGGAAGCAAUGGUAAAGAUUUAUCGCUUUGAGAUGGACCCGCGGCGCAUUAGCUAGUUGGUGAGGUAACGGCUCACCAAGGCCACGAUGCGUAGCCGACCUGAGAGGGUGAUCGGCCACAUUGGAACUGAGACACGGUCCAGACUCCUACGGGAGGCAGCAGUGGGGAAUAUUGCACAAUGGGCGCAAGCCUGAUGCAGCAACGCCGCGUGAGUGAUGAAGGUCUUCGGAUUGUAAAGCUCUGUCUUUGGGGACGAUAAUGACGGUACCCAAGGAGGAAGCCACGGCUAACUACGUGCCAGCAGCCGCGGUAAUACGUAGGUGGCAAGCGUUGUCCGGAUUUACUGGGCGUAAAGGGUGCGUAGGUGGAUAUUUAAGUCAGAUGUGAAAUCCCUGGGCUCAACCCAGGACCUGCAUUUGAAACUGGAUGUCUAGAGUGCGGGAGAGGUAAGUGGAAUUCCUAGUGUAGCGGUGAAAUGCGUAGAGAUUAGGAAGAACACCAGUGGCGAAGGCGACUUACUGGACCGUAACUGACACUGAGGCACGAAAGCGUGGGUAGCAAACAGGAUUAGAUACCCUGGUAGUCCACGCCGUAAACGAUGAGUACUAGGUGUAGGGGGUAUCGACUCCCCCUGUGCCGCAGUUAACACAAUAAGUACUCCGCCUGGGAAGUACGAUCGCAAGAUUAAAACUCAAAGGAAUUGAC